rnacentral:rRNA from 1 species
ACGGCUCAGUAACACGUAGUCAACCUGCCCUCGGGUCGAGCAUAAUCUCGGGAAACUGAGGCUAAUUCUCGAUAGGUCAAGAUUCCUGGAAUGGGUUUUGGUCCAAAUGGCGUAACAGCAUCUUGUUAUUUUCGCCCGAGGAUGGGACUGCGGCCGAUCAGGCUGUUGGUGGGGUAAAGGCCCACCAAACCAGUAACCGGUACGGGCUUUGAGAGAAGGAGCCCGGAGAUGGACACUGAGACAAGGGUCCAGGUCCUACGGGGCGCAGCAGGCGCGAAACCUUCGCAAUGCGCGCAAGCGCGACGAGGUUAUUCUGAGUGAUUUCCGCUGAGGAAAUCUUUUCUUAGAUCUAAAAAGUCUGGGGAAUAAGGGGAGGGCAAGUCUGGUGUCAGCCGCCGCGGUAAUACCAGCUCCUCGAGUGGUCAGGGCGUUUAUUGGGCCUAAAGCAUCCGUAGCCUGCUCAGUAGGUCUCCUGUUAAAUCCAACGGCUCAACCAUUGGUCUGCAGGAGAUACCGCUGGGCUAGGAGGCGGGAGAGGCGGACGGUACUCCGAGGGUAGGGGUAAAAUCCUUUGAUCCCCGGAAGACCACCAGUGGCGAAGGCGGUCCGCCAGAACGCGCUCGACGGUGAGGGAUGAAAGCUGGGGGAGCGAACCGGAUUAGAUACCCGGGUAGUCCCAGCUGUAAACGAUGCGAGCUAGGUGACACGACGCCUUCGGGGCAUCGUGGUGCCGCAGGGAAGCCGUUAAGCUCGCCGCCUGGGGAGUACGGACGCAAGUCUGAAACUUAAAGGAAUUGGCGGGGGAG